CAGGCUUAACACAUGCAAGUCGAGGGGCAGCAUUUUAGUUUGCUUGCAAACUGAAGAUGGCGACCGGCGCACGGGUGAGUAACACGUAUCCAACCUGCCGAUAACUCCGGGAUAGCCUUUCGAAAGAAAGAUUAAUACCGGAUAGCAUACGAAUAUCGCAUGAUAUUUUUAUUAAAGAAUUUCGGUUAUCGAUGGGGAUGCGUUCCAUUAGUUUGUUGGCGGGGUAACGGCCCACCAAGACUACGAUGGAUAGGGGUUCUGAGAGGAAGGUCCCCCACAUUGGAACUGAGACACGGUCCAAACUCCUACGGGAGGCAGCAGUGAGGAAUAUUGGUCAAUGGGCGCGAGCCUGAACCAGCCAAGUAGCGUGAAGGAUGAAGGCUCUAUGGGUCGUAAACUUCUUUUAUAUGGGAAUAAAGUUUUCCACGUGUGGAAUUUUGUAUGUACCAUAUGAAUAAGGAUCGGCUAACUCCGUGCCAGCAGCCGCGGUAAUACGGAGGAUCCGAGCGUUAUCCGGAUUUAUUGGGUUUAAAGGGAGCGUAGGUGGAUUGUUAAGUCAGUUGUGAAAGUUUGCGGCUCAACCGUAAAAUUGCAGUUGAAACUGGCAGUCUUGAGUACAGUAGAGGUGGGCGGAAUUCGUGGUGUAGCGGUGAAAUGCUUAGAUAUCACGAAGAACUCCGAUUGCGAAGGCAGCUCACUAGACUGUCACUGACACUGAUGCUCGAAAGUGUGGGUAUCAAACAGGAUUAGAUACCCUGGUAGUCCACACAGUAAACGAUGAAUACUCGCUGUUUGCGAUAUACAGUAAGCGGCCAAGCGAAAGCAUUAAGUAUUCCACCUGGGGAGUACGCCGGCAACGGUGAAACUCAAAGGAAUUGACGGGGGCCCGCACAAGCGGAGGAACAUGUGGUUUAAUUCGAUGAUACGCGAGGAACCUUACCCGGGCUUAAAUUGCAACAGAAUAUAUUGGAAACAGUAUAGCCGUAAGGCUGUUGUGAAGGUGCUGCAUGGUUGUCGUCAGCUCGUGCCGUGAGGUGUCGGCUUAAGUGCCAUAACGAGCGCAACCCUUAUCUUUAGUUACUAACAGGUCAUGCUGAGGACUCUAGAGAGACUGCCGUCGUAAGAUGUGAGGAAGGUGGGGAUGACGUCAAAUCAGCACGGCCCUUACGUCCGGGGCUACACACGUGUUACAAUGGGGGGUACAGAAGGCGGCUACCUGGUGACAGGAUGCUAAUCCCAAAAACCUCUCUCAGUUCGGAUCGAAGUCUGCAACCCGACUUCGUGAAGCUGGAUUCGCUAGUAAUCGCGCAUCAGCCAUGGCGCGGUGAAUACGUUCCCGGGCCUUGUACACACCGCCCGUCAAGCCAUGAAAGCCGGGGGUACCUGAAGUACGUAACCGCAAGGAGCGUCCUAGGGUAAAACUGGUAAUUGG
rnacentral:rRNA from 1 species